AUAAGGUUAAGUUAUGUUAGACUAGAUGUUUUCAAAACAUCAAGUGGCUAAUUAUUUGGGUCAUCUUAUG
rnacentral:tRNA from 1 species